GCCGGAGUGGUGGAAUGGCAGACACGUCGGACUCAAAAUCCGAUGCACGCAAGUGUGUGUGGGUUCAACUCCCACCUCCGGCA
rnacentral:tRNA from 1 species